rnacentral:lncRNA from 11 species
CUGAAGUCAUGGAGAGACACAAGAAGACAUGAUUGAAGCAUUUCUGAGGUGUUCCCAGGUACAUUCAUAUUCAAUUCAAUGGAGGCAAAACAAAUCAGCUGGAGAUUGGAAGGAGGAAAGUGCUUUAUAGUCUUCAUGCUCUUGUCGGAUAUGGGUGUUUAUCUGUUUAGGGCAGGACUGUCCAAACUUUUUAAACUGAGGGCCAGUUUGCAGUCCCUCAGCCUG